rnacentral:rRNA from 1 species
GGACAACCUGCCCUGAGGACUGGAAUAAUCCCGGGAAACUGGGGGUAAUUCCAGAUAUGUCAGAACUCCUGGAAUGGGUUCUGGCAGAAAGGCUCCGGCGCCUCAGGAUGGGUCUGCGGCCUAUCAGGGUAGUAGUGGGUGUAACGUACCUACUAGCCUACGACGGGUACGGGUUGUGAGAGCAAGAGCCCGGAGAUGGAUUCUGAGACAUGAAUCCAGGCCCUACGGGGUGCAGCAGGCGCGAAAACUUUACAAUGCGGGCAACCGCGAUAAGGGGACCUCGAGUGCUGGGUUACAAACCUGGCUGUUGGGCUGCCUAAAAAGCAGUCUAUAGCAAGGGCCGGGCAAGACCGGUGCCAGCCGCCGCGGUAACACCGGCGGCUCGAGUGGUAACCGCUAUUAUUGGGUCUAAAGGGUCUGUAGCCGGCCGACUAAGUCUCUUGGGAAAUCUGGCAUCUCAAGUGUCAGGCUGCCAGGGGAUACUGGUCGGCUUGGGACCGGGAGAGGUGAGAGGUACCUCGGGGGUAGGGGUGAAAUCUUGUAAUCCUCGAGGGACCACCAGUGGCGAAGGCGUCGCACCAGAACGGAUCCGACGGCAAGGGACGAAAGCUAGGGGCACGAACCGGAUUAGAUACCCGGGUAGUCCUAGCCGUAAACGAUACUCGCUAGGUGUCGGCCACGGUGCGACCGUGGUCGGUGCCGUAGGGAAGCCGUGAAGCGAGCCACCUGGGAAGUACGGCCGCAAGGCUGAAACUUAA